AAGAAGACGACCGAUCCUACGGCGCGACCACGUAAUAUUGUAAAUACUGUCCCGCCAGUGUUUCCUUCCAGCGACUGCGAUGCGGCUACUCCACACACGGCGAGAAGCGAGAAGCGUAUGGCAGGCAUGCGAUUCGAAGGAGCACCGUGCAGAAGACAGUGUAUAUGGACGCAGUGUUCAUAUAUACUGUAUUCAUAUGAAAUCAAGAGUUUCGCGGGAACCCGUCUGGUCUGGAGCAGACAAUGUAAAGGAUCAGAAAAAUGGCGAGGUGCAUCAAGCUCACUUCGUAUUCCGCCCUACAUAAGCCCUCCGGCACGAAUUUAACUCCGCAUUGGCGAUCCCCUGCAAGUUGCCCGUCCACCUGCUCAUACUACAACGUUUGCUGCAUCAUUCUUUCCUCACUCAGUCACAGACUGGAAGGGCCUUCCACACAACGUCACUGCAACCACCUCUCCAUCUACAUUUUCUGAUUGUAUAACUGCCAUAUUGAACCACUAAUAUUUUUUAUUUUAA